rnacentral:rRNA from 1 species
AACGAACGCUGGCGGCGUGCCUAACACACGCAAGUCGAGCGCGAAGAGGGCAACCUGAGUAGAGCGGCGCACGGGUGCGUAACAUGUGGGUAAUCUGCCUUAGAGUCGAGGAUAACCUUCCGAAAGGUUGGCUAAUACUCGGUAAGCUUACGGUGUCUUCGGACGCUGUGGGAAAAGUAGGCCUCUGUUUACAAGCUUACGCUCUGAGAUGAGCCCGCGGCCCAUCAGCUAGUUGGCGGUGUAACGGACCACCAAGGCAACGACGGGUAGCUGGUCUGAGAGGACGAUCAGCCACACUGGAACUGAGACACGGUCCAGACUCCUACGGGAGGCAGCAGUGGGGAAUUUUCCACAAUGGGCGAAAGCCUGAUGGAGCAACGCCGCGUGUGUGAUGAAGGUUUUCGGAUCGUAAAGCACUUUCGACCGGGACGAAAAACCUCUGGCUAACAUCCAGGGGCCUGACGGUACCGGGAGAAGAAGCACCAGCUAACUCUGUGCCAGCAGCCGCAGUAA